GUGGGGAAUAUUGGACAAUGGGCGAAAGCCUGAUCCAGCCAUGCCGCGUGUGUGAAGAAGGUCUUCGGAUUGUAAAGCACUUUAAGUUGGGAGGAAGGGCAGUAAGUUAAUACCUUGCUGUUUUGACGUUACCGACAGAAUAAGCACCGGCUAACUUCGUGCCAGCAGCCGCGGUAAUACGAAGGGUGCAAGCGUUAAUCGGAAUUACUGGGCGUAAAGCGCGCGUAGGUGGUUUUGUAAGUUGGAGGUGAAAUCCCCGGGCUCAACCUGGGAACUGCCUCCAAAACUGGAUGACUAGAGUACGGUAGAGGGUAGUGGAAUUUCCUGUGUAGCGGUGAAAUGCGUAGAUAUAGGAAGGAACACCAGUGGCGAAGGCGACUACCUGGACUGAUACUGACACUGAGGUGCGAAAGCGUGGGGAGCAAACAGGAUUAGAUACCCGAGUAGUCC
rnacentral:rRNA from 1 species